rnacentral:lncRNA from 1 species
AUGGAUUAUCUAGAUUGGGAGGGUUAUCUUGAGAACGCUAUAUAUAUGCAAUGCAACAAAAUCAUACUACAAUACUAUUCCAAUGCUUCGUAAAAUACAGCAAAUUCUUACAAACUUGUAAAGAUAGAUUCAUGAAAUCCAACUUAAUAAACUCAAUUUACUUUUAUUUAACAAAACAUAUGUAGAAAUAUAUUUACAAAAGUAUUAAAUCAAACACAAAUCUACUACUUUAAACUAUACUAAUCAAAAGCCAAAAUCCAUAACUCAUCUAUUUUAUAUCUGUAUACUUCUAAAUCCAUAUCUAUCUAUAUUUCUAUAAUAAAUGAAAAUCUUUGAGGACACCAGUCACCUUCUUUUUCCGCCUCUCUGUCAUAUUAAAUAAAGUAUUAAAUCAUAAUUUUUUCGUUUCUCUCUUAUUUAUUUAAUAUCUGUUUUCCCAACUACUUCCUUAUUUUUUCCGCUCAUUAAUAACUAUUUAAUAUUUCAUUGAUCCAACAUUCCAACCCCUGUGUAAUAAACUUAAUAACUAUUUAAUAUUUCAUUGAUCCAACAUUACAACCCCUGUGUAAUAAACCGGUUUCAAACCUAGUUACUGAAUAAAGUAAAUACAAACUGUUUUCUUUGGGUAAUUAUCAUCAAUUAUUCAAUUAUCAAAUAAUUAAUAGUUUUCCUACUUUACUUAACACAGGGUUUCUAACCUAGUUACUUCAUCUUCCUCUUUGAUUGAUUUCAGUUGCCGUUCAAAUCCAUAUUUCUCGUAUCAUUUAGUUCAAACAUGUAUAACAAUAUAGGUCAUGAUAAUAGAAAGGGA